ACAAAUGGUGAAAGCCUUGCAUAAUGCUGGAAUUGAGGUCAUUUUGGAUGUGGUCUAGAACCAUAAUAAUGAAGCUGAUGAUAAUCAUCCUUGUACCACUUCUUUUCAUGGCGUAGACAAUAAGGUUUAUUACAUGCUCGAUGUUGACAACAAUUCUCAAUUGCUUAAUUUCUCUGGAUGUGGUACUUCCAAUCAUUCCCUUCAAUUUGUCUAGCCUUUUCCAUCAAAGUUCUUUCUUAUGACAUCUUUUAAAGCCAACUC